UGAAUGAAAGUUUGAGGUCUGUAAUUUCUGCUAAGGCAGCAGCGAAGUGAUCUCUACAGUAGACAAAUGGGAAACACAGCAGAGAGAGGGGGAUGAUCUGCAGCAAAAGGCCCAAACUGGAAUCGAACCUUGGCCAGCAUGACAUGUGGUGCAUGUAAUACCAGGAGGAUGUUGGUCCUGUCAGUGCUCUCUUCUGACCUGCCAGUGGUUCAGAUGGCCUUUAUCAACUACUUUGCUGUCCUACCAGUCUACCUGUCUGAUCAGAAACCAGUCUUGUCAAGGAUAAAUAGAGCACAGUGCAGUGGAGAAUGCAGUGCUGCCAGCUUCACAGUGAUGUGCGACGGCAGCAGUUUGACUUGACAUCAGCGUUAUCAGGAGGACCUUCGUGACCUUUGCAUUAAAGACACUUAAUAUGCACACAAAGACAAGGUGUAUAUUUUACAUUCAGGGUAUGUAUGUCAUCUAACUGAAAAUUUGUUUAAUUAAUUUGU